ensembl:lncRNA
AAAUAAACUGCCUCCGACAUUCCUCUCUAAAAGUCAGAGAUAAGGUAAGGUAAAUUUUAUUGUUCCACAUGUGGGGAAAUUUGUCUUGGGCCAUCACCCAUGCUGCAGUCAGCUCACAAAAGCAGCACGAGGUAGCCUGGGUCGCAACAGAGCAGCGCCACAGGAAGCCAAAAGAUCACCAAAAUAAGAACAGGACCUCAGUGAAAACAACUGAAAAAGUAUUUCAUGUUCGGAUUUCUUAUGAUAAAAUGAGUAAAUGUCUGAUCUCACUAUUGAGGACACAAAAAAAUCAGGAAAUAUGAGAGUUCAAGAUCAGAAAGAGGAUAUCCAGCACCUUACUCCCAUUAGUGAAGAAACCCAGAAUCCAGGAGCAACCAAGAACCACACACUGAGCCACCUUCAGGACCCAGCACAACGCAACCACGUAUCCAAUUACGCACAGGACUCCAGUUAUAAAGGGCAAAGGUCAACAGCGCCAAACUGAAGAACAUCAGUCCCACGAUCACACACACCCAAAUCACCAGAUCCAUCUCUGGUUUCCACAAGCAAGUAGGUAUCGCUGCAGCCCGGAGACCUCCAAGUGGGAGGAGCUUUUGCCGCAAGUGGGCUGGACUUCACGGAGACCUCCAAGUGGGAGGAACUUUUGCCUCAAGUGGGCGGGCCUUUACAAAUGGGCGGGGUUUAAGCAGAAAUCUCACAUUGCGUUAUUGCCAGGGUGCGCGCGAAUGAGGAUGGCAUGAAGUAGCGAUACUAACGAAAAACAGAUUUAGUGUUUUUCAUUGUAGUUUAAAUUUUAUUUAUUACCAAGAGGUUGGAAUAUAAUUUUGUGACAACUGCGAACAUUCAAGUAUAUUGCAUGAUAUUAAUUUUAUAAUUAUAUCAGUAUCAAGAAAAUGAAUGUGUAAUUUAGAGCAAUAAAAUGUUUACUGUAUGUUGUUUGUCUUUAAUGCUUGUCUUUAAUGCAAGUUUGAAAUCUGAGGGUGAAUUAUAUUGUUUAGAUUGUUACAACCACCUGGCUCUAGCUGAAGCAACAUUACAAAAG